rnacentral:rRNA from 1 species
GAUGAACGCUAGCGGGAGGCUUAACACAUGCAAGUCGAGGGGUAACAUGAGGUAGCAAUACUUUGAUGACGACCGGCGCACGGGUGAGUAACACGUAUGCAACCUACCCUGUACAGGGGGAUAGCCCGGAGAAAUUCGGAUUAAUACCCCAUAAAGAUAUUUAGAGGCAUCUUUAAAUAUUUAAAGUUUCGACGGUACGGGAUGGGCAUGCGCAACAUUAGCUAGUUGGUAGGGUAACGGCCUACCAAGGCUACGAUGUUUAGGGGACCUGAGAGGGUGAUCCCCCACACUGGUGCUGAGACACGGACCAGACUCCUACGGGAGGCAGCAAUGAGGAAUAUUGGUCAAUGGGCGUAAGCCUGAACCAGCCAUCCCGCGUGAAGGAAGAAGGCGCUAUGCGUUGUAAACUUCUUUUCCGGGGGAAGAAAACCCGCUACGAGUAGCGGCUUGCCGGUACCCUGGGAAUAAGCAUCGGCUAACUCCGUGCCAGCCGCCGCCGUAACAC